ensembl:lncRNA
UUUUUUUUUUUUUUUUUUUUAGCCCCAAGUUUGGUACCUCGCCAACUGACUUUUCUACUUGAAGCAGAAAGAAAAUGUUUCAGGAACUUAGAGAGUCAAAGUAUCGUAUGAAAAAAAGAAUCACAAUAAUAAAAACUACUUUAAAAAACCCAUUCAAGAACAGAUAUAAAAUAGGUUAUUCACAAGGGGAAAAUUCGUAAUAAGAAGGGAAACUAGGGCACUAGAAGUAGACAGGAGUUCUACAGAGGCAUUCUAGCCACUUAAAAAUAUAGGUAGCCUGAAAACACCAAAAAAGCACUAAGAAAAAAAAUUUUUUUUGAGUUCCCUGGUGGCCUGGUGGUUAAGGAUUCAGCAUUGUCACACCUGUGGCUCGAGUUUGAUCCCUGGCCCAGGAACUUCUGCAUACCAUGGGCACAGCCAAAACAAUUUUUUUUUAAAUUUUUUUAAAAAAGAAAAAAAUUGGAGUUCCCACUGUGGCGCAGUGGAAACGAAUCCGACUGGGAACCAUAAGGUUGCGGGUUUGAUCCCUGGCCUCGCUCAGUGAGUUAAGGAUCUGGUGUUGCUGUGAGCUGUGGUAUAGGUCACAGACUUGGCUCAGAUCUGGCAUUGCUGUGGCUGUGGUGUAGACUGGCAGCCGUAGCUCCAAUGAAACCCCUCGCCUGGGAACCUCCACCUGCUGCGGGUGCAGCCCUCAAAAGCAAACAAAGAAAAAAAUUCAGAAGAAUAACAAUUGCCCAUAAUUCCAGCACCCAGAGAAAGCCACUAUACAUAUUUUUUUCCUUCUAGCCAAAUUUUGUCUGUCUACUGUUACUGUCAGCUUCACGCAUGAAAAUCCUAAUGUACAAGCCCAAGAGUUUAUGGUCUUUGGGGAACAUGGCUCAGCCCCAGAUGGGGGACAUCUCGGUGGGAGACAUCCCAGAAGUCUCCCACCUCUUGUGCCCCAGGUUGUUCUUGAACCUCCUGGAAGUGGCCUUGGAGGGCGUGAAGUCUGCUGCUUUGGUGCCUCCUUGUCUGCGGGACUCAUCCGCGCUGGCUGCUGUAGCGAGUAAGCGUCGUGCCUUCCUGCUGGGCAGGUGUAACCAUCCUGUGAUCUGCCUGUCCUGCUGUGAGGAGCAUUUGGGUUGUUUCUGGUUUGGGGCUAUUGCAAAUUAAGCUGUUUUGAAUAUUCUCGCGUGUGUCUUUGGUGGACUUAAGCCCUCAUUUUAUUUCAGUGUAUAUUAUCUCAGAGUAGAGUUGCUGGGUUGUAAGGUAAAUACUGCCAACGUCAACAUUAUAUUAUAUACUUUUCUUCAAAAAGCAUGAUUGUUAGAGCUUUAUAUAGUCUGUGAUAUAGUAUGAAUUAUUCUUUGUUUACAGGGUUGGAGAUCAAGAUUCAUUUUUUUUUUUUUUUUCCCUGCCACAAGAAUAGCCAGUAUUAUGUAUUGGAAAACGUGAUUUUUACUUUCUGAGCUGCAGUGGUGCUUUUCUGUUAAUUAGGUGACUACUGUGUGGGUCUGUUGUAAAACUCUUCAUUCCGUUAAGAUUGACCCGUUUAUUAAUAUUUAUUUUAACGGAAAUUGGAGUCAUGCCAGAUAUAUAGCUUUUACAUUUUUUUUACACUGAAUAUGAUAUCAUGCUUCCAAAACAAAUUAAAAUUACUGUUGUGCCGUAGCGGAAAUGAAUCCGACUAGGAACCAUGAGGUUGUAGGUUCUAUCCCUGGCCUUGCUCAGUGUGUUGAGGAUCCAACAUUGCUGUGAGCUGUAGUGUAGGUCACAGAUGCAGCUUGGAUGCUGCGUUGCUGUGGUGUAAACUGUCAACUGUAGCUCCUCCAAUUGGACCCCUAGCCUGGGAACCUCCAUAUGCUUUGGGUGUGGCCCUAAAAAGCUAAAAAAAGGUAGUGGAAAAGGAGUUCCUUGGUAGUUCAGCAAGUUAAGUAUCCAGCAUUGCCACUGCUUUGGUGUGGGUUGGAUCCCUGGUCUGGGAACUUCAGUAUGCUGUGAGUAUGGCCAAAAAA